GUGCCAGCAGCCGCGGUAAUACAGAGGGUGCAAGCGUUAAUCGGAUUUACUGGGCGUAAAGCGUGCGUAGGCGGUUCAGUAUGUCGGUCGUGAAAUCCCCGGGCUUAACCUGGGAACUGCGGCCGAAACUGCUGGGCUUGAGUGUGGUAGAGGAAGGUGGAAUUCCAGGUGUAGCGGUGAAAUGCGUAGAUAUCUGGAGGAACACCGAUGGCGAAGGCAGCCUUCUGGGCCACAACUGACGCUGAGGUACGAAAGCGUGGGUAGCAAACAGGAUUAGAAACCCGUGUAGUCC
rnacentral:rRNA from 1 species